rnacentral:rRNA from 1 species
GACGAACGCUGGCGGCGUGCUUAACACAUGCAAGUCGAACGGAAAGGCCCUGCUUUUGUGGGGUGCUCGAGUGGCGAACGGGUGAGUAACACGUGAGUAACCUGCCCUUGACUUUGGGAUAACUUCAGGAAACUGGGGCUAAUACCGGAUAGGAGCUCCUGCUGCAUGGUGGGGGUUGGAAAGUUUCGGCGGUUGGGGAUGGACUCGCGGCUUAUCAGCUUGUUGGUGGGGUAGUGGCUUACCAAGGCUUUGACGGGUAGCCGGCCUGAGAGGGUGACCGGUCACAAUUGGACUGGGAUGCGGCCCAGACGGAGACGGGGGGCAGCAGUGGGGAAUAUUGUAAUAUGGGCGGAGGCCUGAUGGAGCAACGCCGCGUGCGGGAUGACGGCCCUAGGUGUGGAAACCGCUGUCGCCUGUGACAAAGCGUGAGGGACGGUAAUGGGUAAAGAAGCACCGGCUAACUACGUG